GGCUAAACUAGGAGAUGUGUAGCGUGCGACGUAGUGAGCAUUUGCCAAAAACGCAGCGCACGACAAAUUUUAGUUUCUCCACUAUCCGAGAAAUUUGUUUACCACUGCUACAAGAUUUGGCGCACGUUACAGUGGUAGGGUAGCUAAACAGUGUUUUGGCGGGAACGUGGUCGUCUGCAUUCCGGCUCCGGAGACCACAGUAUACACACUUUACCUCACACGUUUGACGCAAAGAUAAAGCAUAAUGGGAUUUAGAUAAUGGAAAAGAGCACGCCGGUCGGUGAAGGGAUUUUUUCCCCUAGUCCUCCCCCCACCGUAGAAUGUGACCUCCUCUCUUUCCACUCUUCCUCUGGCGACCUUUUUGCUUUUCUUGUAGACAAGCUUGCUACUCGCCUGUUACUUCUUUUAUUAUUCAUUGGAAUGCUCUGACUGAGCUUGUCUUUCUAUUUUCAUAAAAUAUUUCAUGAAAAAGAAGCAGCGCAAUUAGAAGGCUAAAUCCAACCUCUAAAAGGGGGGGUCUGUCCCGUCCUACCUGCUGAAGGUUACCCAGAAUCCCGAACGUUAAUAAAAUCCUGUUUCUCGGUUCUAAAAUCAAGACGAUUUUCGGUUCCCGUAUUACCCCUUAUCUUAGUUUGAAAGCUUCUUGGGUCUAGGACAAACGCCGUUCUUUUCAUAUGCCGUUCCAAAUGCAAAUUAACAUAGAAAAUCGAAUGGGUUUAUUCUCGUGCAUUUACAUUUAAAACGGUACAUAAAAAGAACGCCGUCUAAAUUAGGUCUUAUUUUUCAAAGAAUGCAUUCCUAGCCUCAUUCAUGACCUAGAGGUGGUUAUUAAAAGCAGCUCUGGUACCUGCGACUAUUUAUUUUCAUAUAACAUGUGCGGGAACUAGAAACCUGCAAUACAAUGCAGUGACGUAGCAACCCCGAUUAGACUGUUUGUCGUACCUGUAGCAAUUGUGGAUUAAUGGCCCCGCCAAGUCACGUCCUGUCGAUUUACUAUGACGUCACUCAAAUGAAGGUCGUUUGGGAACGACCAUUUGAUAUAAGUGUUAUAAGGGACAUCUUAGGAGGUGUAAUACUAAUUC